rfam:Triticum aestivum genome assembly, contig: Triticum_aestivum_CS42_TGACv1_scaffold_224794_3B
AUUAUACUUCCCCGUUCGGAAUUACUUGUCUCCAAAAUGGAUGUAUCUAGAACUAAAAUACAUCUAGAUACAUCCAUUUCUGCGACAAAUAAUUCCGAAUGGAGGGAGUACAAC